rnacentral:rRNA from 1 species
GAUGAACGCUGGCGGCGUGCCUAACACAUGCAAGUCGAGCGUGAUUUAUGAGGACGAAACUUCGGUCUAGGAAUCAUAAUGAAAGCGGCGGACGGGUGAGUAACGCGUAGGCAACCUGCCCUUGACACAGGGAUAGCCUCGGGAAACCGGGAUUAAAACCUGAUGACGCCAAACAGUCACAUGGCUGUUUGGCCAAAGAUUUAUCGGUCAAGGAUGGGCCUGCGUCUGAUUAGUUUGUUGGUGGGGUAACGGCCUACCAAGACGACGAUCAGUAGCCGACCUGAGAGGGUGAGCGGCCACAUUGGAACUGAGACACGGUCCAAACUCCUACGGGAGGCAGCAGUGGGGAAUAUUGCACAAUGGGCGAAAGCCUGAUGCAGCAACGCCGCGUGAGCGAUGAAGGCCUUUGGGUCGUAAAGCUCUGUCCUUGGGGAAGAAACAAAUGACGGUACCCAAGGAGGAAGCCCCGGCUAACUACGUGCCAGCCGCCGCGGUAAUAC